UUUGACAAAAUCUCUCAAAAAAAUAGAAAAGUUUUCGCAAUUCCCUCAUAACCCAAAACAAACUAAAAAUAAAACUGAUAGGACAAUUAUACCCCCAUACUUGUAUUCUUCUUUGUCAAAUCGAAUAAUGUUUGAACGCUUGUUGCUACUAAUAAAGGCCACUGACCAGCAGAGAUCCGGUGGGAGUCCGGCGACGGUGAGUGUUUCCCUCAGAUUUUAUUCAUGUUUUAUUUUGAUUCUGUCAUCUUCUUCCACCCCAAUCGAAUUCAUAUUUAAAAUAAUAUUCUACCAGAAAUUUGUCAGUAUCCAACCCAAAGCAAUAUGAUUACACAGUUGAAAAAUGAUGUCUAGUUAUUUUGAUCAACCAAUAAUCGUAGCCGAGGUUGAUGAUGAUGAUGGUAAUGGGGAAUGACGGAGGCGACGAGUGACUAAAGAGGAGCAAUGGCGGUUUAGCUAUUGUGAUCAACCGAUUACGAGUCAUAAUCAAAAUAUGAUUAUAAUCAAAACAAGUACAGUAUCAUAAUCCAAACUUACAACGAGCGUCUCAACAUUGCUCUCAUCGUUUACCCAAAUUUUUAAAAAUCUCAGGGAUGUUGACUUUGACAUUAUAUGUGGAUGAUGGAAGUCCCGAUGGUACUCAAGUCGUUGCAAAACAGUUGCAGCAAGUUUACGGUGAAGAUUGCGUUAUCAAUAUUUUAUUUAUGUUAGAUACUUAUAUUUCAUUUUGGUGACAUGCGCUUAAAUUUGCUUGUUGUAACUGCCUCUCUAUUCCUACUCUUCUUGAUUGAUGCAGCUGUUAAGACCUCUUGGUUUAGGUGGUUCUUAUGUGGUUUGCUACAUCUUUUUAAUGCUAAUAAAUGUAUUUUGUAUGGUUAUAUGACAAUCUAUGAUUUAUUUUAAGUUUUCAGAGCUGUUUGUACUUGA